GAUGAACGCUGGCGGCGUGCCAAAUACAUGCAAGUCGAGCGAACAGACGAGGAGCUUGCUCCUUUGACGUUAGCGGCGGACGGGUGAGUAACACGUAGGUAACCUACCUCUAAGACUGGGAUAACUUCGGGAAACCGGAGCUAAUACCGGAUCAUAUUUCGAACCGCAUGGUUCGAUAGUGAAAGAUGGCUUUGCUAUCACUUUUAGAUGGACCUGCGCCGUAUUAGCUAGUUGGUAAGGUAACGGCUUACCAAGGCAACGAUACGUAGCCGACCUGAGAGGGUGAUCGGCCACACUGGAACUGAGACACGGUCCAGACUCCUACGGGAGGCAGCAGUAGGGAAUCUUCCGCAAUGGGCGAAAGCCUGACGGAGCAACGCCGCGUGAGUGAUGAAGGUCUUCGGAUCGUAAAACUCUGUUAUUAGGGAAGAACAAACGUGUAAGUAACUGUGCACGUCUUGACGGUACCUAAUCAGAAAGCCACGGCUAACUACGUG
rnacentral:rRNA from 1 species